GAAACACAGCAGAUUUUCAAGCAACCCUUCCAGAAAGAUUCUAGUGUUCUACCUACAAGGGCUGCUCCAAAAGUAAUGCCUCCUGUUGUAUCAUUUUGGCCCUCGACAUCGGAAGCAGAUGUUGGUGGUACAGCAGUAGAGGUUGGACCUUCCCACCAGUAUGGGAUGAUGUCGCCUGACAUGGAAGUGCAUAUGAAGCAAAGAAGUGAAAUUGAAUUCCUCCAUGCGAAAACAAGUAAACCUAUGGGCAUGCAUCAAUGCUUGCUGAACAUUUAUGGAGACUAAGCAGUGGAUGUGAACUCCGUGAGGUGGUGGGUGGUGUGUUUCAGCAGUGGAGGAUUCAUGGACAGGAGAAAGUCAGAAAAAGGCUGUUCUGGCCAGGCUCCGUGAGGCACCCAAGACACGAAAACUAAAGAAGGGGAAUAGUCUGGCAGAAUCUGAUUCUGAUUUCAGUCACACAGAAAUGUAAAGUAGGCCCUUCGUCUCCCACUGAUUCCAACACUAACACCAGGAAGAUCUGCAGCUGCCUGUUACUCAGUACUGAGGAACUACUUCAUGUUUCCAACAUCUCUUGUUUGUAGCACUUAUGUGGUCCAGUCGCUUCCUCCUGAAUAGAAAAUCCACUGGAAAUGGGGAGUAAACCUCUGCAAGCUGCUACUUACAGUUGCACUGCCAAUUACUUUGAAAAGUAGCAUUACUCCUGUUGAGAAAACUGGAGUUUGCUUACAUGAAACUUACCGAUGUUCUUCUUGAUGGACCUUCAAACAGAUGUGCUGUUCCUAAUGAAGUAGGAAAGAUUUCUCUCAGUGUAAGUGCGCACUUACAAAGAGAGUCAAAUUCACUCUGCUGAUUUGCUGAUAAUCCCCAGGGCAAUUUCCUAUCAUUGGAGAAUGCUAAUGAGAACUUGUACAAAUCUUCUUGAUCCUCAACAACUCCUGUGCCAUGGUUCAACCCAAUGAUAGUACUGCAUUGCUCAUAGAACUACAUUGCUCCACUCUGAUGGUUCUGUGGGGAAAUAAUCAAAAAAGCUUUUUCUUAGACCUGAAAAACAAGCACUGAGGUACACUUGGAGAACAAUACAAAUACUACAGGCAAAUAAGUCCCAAGAAGCAGUAAGAAGUAGCUGAAUUAGAAUAUAGAUGCAAAUUGGCUUUAGAUCUAUUCAGACCAGAAGUUAGGAGUAGGGCUUUUCAAGGCUUUGGACAAUUCUUCUGGUAGUACCUGUCGGAGCACCAAAUGAAAGUGAAAAACAAAUUCAUUUACGAUUUGUGUGAGAAGAAAUUUCUGAGAUGAGCUGAAAUAGCAAAAGUCAAGUCUCUGAUAUGAUGGAUUAUUUGUCUAUAUUGCUAAGCAUAUUUGCCAACCAGCACCAAUUAUUCAGGUCUGGACAUCAGGCGUGAUGGGUCACAAAUGAAUCAAGUUGGAGGUCUUUCUGCUGAGACUGAAAUCACUGAAGUAUUUCAUUUAGUCCAGCAAAAGCCACCCAGCUGCUUUGACCUGAAUUCAUGUUCUCAGUUACUGGUGGAAGUUCCAUAUCUCAGUCUCUUCUUCUGUAUGAACUCUAAAAAAACAUUUAUGGGAGCCAAUAAUUUUGGAUGAGUACUUCCUCUUGUUGCAUUUUGUACAAAAAUCUGCCUCAGCAUGCAUGGAUUUCCAAUGUAAACAACAAAAGUUGUAGUGAUUGCACAUCUGAAUGUACAGCUCCAAACAGGGAUCCCACAAGCUGCAGGCUCCCAAGACCGCAUUUUGUGAUGUCUGUAGCUGCCAGUUUUGAGUGCUUUGGAAACGGCAUCGUGAUGACUUGUGGAUCAGUCCAGCAAGGCGAUGAGACCUGUCUCGGUGUACUUCUUGUGGUGCUGAACUUGGUUUGCAUCAUUCUUUUCGUGCUUCUGGCAUGGCUGAUACUUGUUAGAUGCUGUCCCAAAAGGGGGAUGUAAGGAUCAGCUUCUCCCAGCGAGAUGCUCUCUGACUGGGAUGAUAAUUAAGGAGGGAGCUUUUCUGGCACACAGCCUCCCAGAUUGCAGGGAUGCUGCGCAGCAGGACAGCAUCAACUUCUUGCCUUCCAUCUCGUUGUAAGAGCAGCCCAGCAAGGGUCUCAUGGUGAAUCACAACUGGACUUGAUGAAUAAGAACGCUGUUUCCUGCCAGCAGUCUAUUCCACAAUACAAUAGUCUCAUAUAGAGCACUAUGGUAUCUAGUGGCUAGCUUCACCCAGUUUACCACCAUUAGCUUUGUAUGGGGUGAAGGAGCCUGUGUUUACUACCAAAUGAAAGGAGGCCAUCCACAAUUCUCCUUUUAAUUAAGCUUAGCCUUGUAAAGUAUGAAAAGAGUAUUAUACUAAGGCCAAUGUUUUACUGUCCAGUAAGCAGGCUCCUAUUGUGCGUGUUGCCAAGUAGAGAUAACGGGGCCCUUAUGCAGUCAGAAAUUUGUCCUGCCAAGUGGGCAUCAGGUUUGCCUAAAGCAUACCCAGUGCGUGUGUAUGUGGGUAUUGCCAGCUGGAGAUCUGAACUUCACAUUGAUUUUUCCCAUGAAAUCCUGAGACAGAAUGCACGUUGAUAGGUGCUUCCUCUUUUUACAGAAGGCCCAAAAGAGAUCUCAUCAUUCAAAAAUAAAAAUAAAAACAAAAAACAAAAACAAAACCAAGCUUGCAGCACAAACAGUACAGUUCCUAUCAUUUUUUUUCUUUGUUUCUGCUAUUAACAAAAUGUUGGUCCGUUUGAGUUUCAGUUUGAGUUUGGGAGUGUAAAUUCUCCUCCCAUCACCAACUUAAACAGUCCCGAUCAUGGGGAGGAUAUUUGAUUUAAGCUCCAAAUCCCCUUUGGAAUCUACAUCCUUUACGAGGACAAAUUAACCCCUAAAGAUCCUUGAAGUUUUGCGAAGCUUUGGCCAUGCUGACACAAAUUAUAGUUGUUGCUGUUAUAAUGUCGGUGAUUAUUUUUUUUAGGACAAGUGCUUGUGUAAUCCUUGUUUCAGUUUCCAUAUAUGUCAGUGAUAGAAUUGCCUGGUUAUGAACCUGAG
ensembl:lncRNA